rnacentral:lncRNA from 1 species
AUGAAACUGUUCACCCACCAUGGGCUGAGUGUGCAUGUGCAGGGAGUGGGACCCUGUGGCUUCCCCUGUGCCUCCAUGACACCAAGGUUCCUAUCUCCCUGUGGAGUUCAACCUCCACUUCGUGGUUUGUGUGAUACUCAAAGUGGAGUGAGUGGCCAAUACCUUGCCCCUGAUCAAGGAACCUAAAGGGCUGAUUGAGGGAUAUGAGAAUGAUGCAGUUUCUGAGGAAGGUGAACCAUGUGCUUCUGGAGGUGGAUGUAUUGGAGGUUGCCCUGCAAUGCCCAGAGUCCGGACAUCUGUACCCCAUCAGCUGGUGGGAUCCCCAACAUGCUGCUGAAUGAUGAGGAAACA